GUUUACAUCCCUACUCUAUUCAAAUAGGGAGAAACGUCGCGGUGACUCAAAAAAUAAUCAGUUAAUUAAAUUUUGAAUUUUUUUAAAGAUUAAACGAAUUUUAAAGGAGUCGCCACCUAAUUUUAAGAAAACUAGGAAACCAAUUAAAUAAUCUACGAAACCAAGAGAUUCUAGGUAAGGGGUUCAAGUUAUUUCGAAGGGAAGGGGUUAAGCAUCCUUUGAAAUCCACAAAUGUGGAUCCCGACUGAAUUCAUUUUUUUUCAAAUUGAGGAGGAGAAUAAAAUAAUGUACAAAUAUAAUAAACAUGCAAUAUACACAAGUAAUAAAGUAGACAAGUAAUAUGAGAAACAACUUAAUAUUUGUCUAUCGUCAACAAUAUACAUCAUAAUGAAUAUAACAUUCGAACUUUAUUCGAAUGACUUUGAUGAGAAGUGACUUCGGAGUACCUGUAAAGACACUUAGUAAAAGUGUUAGUACUAAAUAAAUAUGACUAAAAGUAAAUGAAUUAGACAACAACUUAAAAAUAAACAUCCGUCUUAUUAACAUGAGAGGCCUUAGAAAUCGACGGUAAUUUCUUCAUCGGCCAUUUUUAACAAAUAAAAUAUAUAAACUUAAACUAAAUUUCCGUCUUUUACAAUGUAAAGGCCUCCAAAAUCGACGGAGAGAUUUUCUCAUUGACCAUUUUUAACAAACAAAAAAUUAAAUCCACAAAUAAACCAAUGAUAACGCAAUGGUAAAAUGAAAUAAUAAUAAGCAAGAUUAUAUUCCGAUCCAAAGUAAUCAACGAAGUAAACCACAAAAACUAUCAAAAGACAAACCACAUAUAUAUAGAAACAAUCAUUAAAAGAUUAUUGGAAAAGAGUCUAAAAGUAACAUAAAAUUAACAACUAGAUAUGAUAGCUAAGUAAUUGAUUUUAACAUUAUAACAAUAACAAAAUAAUCAAAAGACGGUAAUAAGCAAAACAAAAUAGAACAUUGGAAAGUGGCAAACAAAUACAAAAAGAAACAUUUGAACAGUAGCUUGAGAUUUUUUUAUUUUUGUAAACAUGUUUAUCAUCAAAAUAUAUAUAUAUAUUAAAUAAUAACAAAUAAGGGUAAGCAAAUCUAGGAAAAUUAUACACCAACAACUAUAACGUUAAGUGGUCAAACAAAUGUCAGCAAUAAAAUAAACAAAAAUAAUAGUAAUAAAAAUAAAUAAAAUAAUGUAGAUCAAUGAACAGGAAAAGAGGUUAGCUAGUUAUAAAUGAAGUUUGACCGAAGUUUAAUCUUUCCGGUGAAAUCUGAAAUGAGAUAAUAUACACUAUUUUACUUGAACAAAAAUAAUAACAUGAAAAUAAUUCAAAUCAGUUUCAACAAUCAUAAUAAAUAAAUAAUAACCAACAAAGAGAACAAAAUAUCAGUAAUAAGAAUCAAACCCAACAAAAAUAAAAUAGAACAAAGGUAACAAAUGAAGUUUCAACUCAAGCAAAAAGCCAAAACAUUAAUAUCCACCGGAGAAGAUAAAAUAUUGUUGGAAAAAAUAUUGGCCGGAGUUUGAACUUCUUCGGCCAGAUCUGAAAGAAAAAUGAAAUGAAAGAGAAAUAGUUUAUUUACCGGAGUUGGAGUAUUCGGACUGAAUCUGGUCUUUUAAUGCAACUGAUUCCGCCAGAGAGUGUGGGAUUUGUUCGAGUCCUGUUCGGAGCUUUGAGCUUCUUCACCAUAGAUCUGCAAAAAAAAACAACAAUAAAUAUCGUAAAAGGGAAAG
rnacentral:lncRNA from 1 species